rnacentral:pre_miRNA from 1 species
CGGGGAACAAUAUCCUGAUGCUGUGUGAGUGAGUCGGGAAAAGCUCCAGCAUCAGUGAUUUUGUUGCCAG